rnacentral:lncRNA from 1 species
CGGUUUUUCUUCCGUCCCACCCAUCUCCAGGGACAGGCAACUUAAAAGCGAAACAAAAUGAAAGAAGAAUCUUUAAAUGGUUACCCAUCCUCUCGCACUGUCCUCAGGGGCGAGCAGUUUACCUUAUCACUUACCCUCAGGCGUUCCCUGCACGGGCCAUCAUAUGCCGCAGUCUGGCUGGGCACAAAUCACGAGCCACUUGAAGAUUCAAGCAGGAAUGAACUUUAUUUUUAGAACCCACGCCGCAGGCCGCCCCUCUCCAGGAACUCCCCGAGAGCUCCACCGGAACUUCGGGAACUUCGCUAGCACUCAACUGGAACUCAACCUGUGAACUCCACCCACCUGAACUCUCCAGGAACUCCGCGAGAGCUCAAAAAUAGCGGGCACCCGAGGCAGAAGGAACCGCUCCUUCUGGCAAAAUGCCAGGCACCAUCUUGACCUGGCCAUGGCUCUCAACACUCACCACUUCCUCAUACCAAUCCAACCCUUCACAUGCCGGACUCUAAUCCCUGAGCCUGCCCCAUAAAAGUCCUGAA